AGAUGUCACUUGUAGGGGCUUCCUUACAGGUUGGCAAGGACCGUGCUGCUACCAGGGGGUGUUUCCCCCUGUAGUCGUUCUCUGAUUCUUAGAUUUCCCUCUCACACAGGCAUACGGCUCCCGUUCCUGCUCUGAAUUCUGCCAGGAAAGCAGGACAAGUGCCAGUUGUCCAGCUUGCUUGGGUAGCCACACCAGGAGGAACUCUGGAGACGGUGGAGGAACAGGGAUCUCUCCUCUACAAGACUAGAGCUUUAUCUUCCAAAGUGGAGACCCCUGCCCCAGCAGGAGAUGCUGAAAGGCACUCGCCCCGCUCAGGUCACACUGCAAAAUUUCCAGGCACUUCUUUGUGCACCGUCUUGAUGUCGAGCAAGAUCAGCCAGGUGUGAUUGUCCCGGAGGCAUCCAGACGGAGGCAGACUGUGCGCGCCCCUGCCACCCAGAGGUCACCACUGAGGAAGGACGUCUGUGCCUUGUGUUCCUUGAGAAGAUAAGUUGCAGAUGACAGCGUCUGGAGAGGACCCACAGGUCCUGCUGGUCUUGGUCUGUGCCAGGAGAGAGCCG